CCUACGGGGGGCAGCAGUGGGGAAUAUUGCACAAUGGGGGGAACCCUGAUGCAGCGACGCCGCGUGGGUGAAGGAGUAUUUCGGUAUGUAAAGCCCUAUCAGCAGGGAAGAACAAUGACGGUACCUGACUAAGAAGCACCGGCUAAAUACGUGCCAGCAGCCGCGGUAAUACGUAUGGGGCAAGCGUUAUCCGGAUUUACUGGGUGUAAAGGGAGCGUAGACGGCUGUGCAAGUCUGAAGUGAAAGCCCGUGGCUCAACCGCGGAACUGCUUUGGAAACUGUAUAGCUUGAGUACUGGAGAGGCAGGCGGAAUUCCUAGUGUAGCGGUGAAAUGCGUAGAUAUUAGGAAGAACACCAGUGGCGAAGGCGGCCUGCUGGACAGAAACUGACGUUGAGGCUCGAAAGCGUGGGGAGCAAACAGGAUUAGAUACCCGGGUAGUC
rnacentral:rRNA from 1 species